rnacentral:rRNA from 1 species
CCUACGGGGGGCAGCAGUGAGGAAUAUUGGUCAAUGGGCGCAAGUCUGAACCAGCCAUGCCGCGUGCAGGAAGACGGCUCUAUGAGUUGUAAACUGCUUUUGUACGAGGGUAACCGCAGAUACGCGUAUCUGUCUGAAAGUAUCGUACGAAUAAGGAUCGGCUAACUCCGUGCCAGCAGCCGCGGUAAUACGGAGGAUUCAAGCGUUAUCCGGAUUUAUUGGGUUUAAAGGGUGCGUAGGCGGUCGGUUAAGUUAGCGGUGAAAUCCCGAGGAUCAACUUCGGAAUUGCCGUUGAUACUGGUCGGCUUGAGAGUAGUUGAGGUAGGCGGAAUGCAUGGUGUAGCGGUGAAAUGCUUAGAUAUCACACAGAACACCGAUUGCGAAGGCAGCUUACCAAGCUACUUCUGACGUUGAGGCACGAAGGUGCGGGGAGCAAACAGGAUUAGAUACCCGGGUAGUC